UCGAGCUGGUCGAUCGAUGGGGCGGCUCGAUCGGGCUGGGCCUUCUGUCUUCCUGCCGACGCACGCGUAGGCUGCCUGGCGGAUGUGGCUCGCUCCGGAAGGUUGUUCCCUUCGCUUAGACUGAUAGGCUCUGUGCUGGGGACUUUUGAAUUUUGUCAGUUUUGUCCUUGAGUUUUGCCACUCCCUCCAAGAGUAGCUUCCGUGUAAAUCUUCCAGAGCUUCCCACAAUAUCAGCCAGAGUCUUGAGACGAUGCUGUUUCGGCAUUACUGGUCCACCAGUUACUCUGCGUGUGGUGUCAGCUGUGGUGAUGGCGAAGGCUUCUUAUCCUGGCUUCCUACUCUUUGCAUCACAGCUGCAGUGGUGUGUUCUUGAUCUCAGGCUGUCCAGUGACAUUCACUCUUCUGAAUCUAUUCCAAGCUGCACUGCCAAGAUGAAAGUUAAACUGCUUCAGGUAUCUUGAAGAAGAAGAAGGAGACAGGUUACCAAAAAUCCCUUCCUAUACAUACAUAUAUAUAUAUAUAUAUAGGUCCCCCUACGACAUCAUCCAGGGAUCUUUGACAACUUAAAACAGUUUAGCAACAGUUAGAAAUUAACUUCCUGAGAUGAAUAAGGAAAUGUACUUAGAAAGCCUAGAAAGCAAUAUGUGUUAGAACAUUCAAGGCAAGGUUUAGAGCAUGUAAAGUCACUCAAGAUGAUUCUCAUACUUCGCAAAAAUUACAAAGGAAAAAGGAAAAAAAAAUAGCAAGGAAAAUAUGUGUCUCCAAGCCUAUGCACUUUCUCCUUACUUGAAAUCUGGAAUGACUCUUAGGCCUUUGCUUGGGGCCUUUGGACUGAGAAUUGUGAAAUAAUGCAGCUUAUUCCUAGAAGCUUUAUCUUGUGGUUUCUCAGACAGAUCAAAUGCCAGCAGGUGUGGGCAAGCGCAAGCCAAGAACAAUCAGACCAAGUGACAGAUAAUAGCCAGACAGACAAGGACACGACAUACUUAAAGGAAAUUUGAAAAACUAGAGAAACAUAAUUGACGCUAUUUAGUGAAGCCAUUGCAUAUAUCAGUGUUUUAAAGUGAUCAUUGGCUAUAAAUGAAGAAAAUAAUGAUUCUUGCA